CCUACGGGUGGCAGCAGUGAGGAAUAUUGGUCAAUGGGCGGAAGCCUGAACCAGCCAAGUCGCGUGAGGGACGAAGGCCCUACGGGUCGUAAACCUCUUUUGCCGGGGAGCAGGGCGCAGCUCGCGAGCGGGGAGGGAGCGGACCCGGAGAAAAAGCACGGGCUAACUCGGUGCCAGCAGCCGCGGUAAUACGGAGGAUGCGAUCGUUAUCCGGAUUUCUGGGGUUUAAAGGGUGCGUAGGCGGGGCUUCAGGCCGGCGGUAAAAUUGCGGGGCUCACCCCCGCCGCGCCGUGGGAACCGGGUGCCUUGAGUACCGGAGAAGUACGCGGAAUGCGUGGUGUCGCGGUGAAAUGCAUAGAUAUCACGCAGAACCCCGAUUGCGAAGGCAGCGUACCGGCCGGUCACUGACGCUGAGGCACGAAAGCGCGGGUAUCGAACAGGAUUAGAUACCCCUGUAGUC
rnacentral:rRNA from 1 species